rnacentral:rRNA from 1 species
CCUACGGGAGGCAGCAGUGAGGAAUAUUGGUCAAUGGACGGAAGUCUGAACCAGCCAUGCCGCGUGCAGGAAGACGGCUCUAUGAGUUGUAAACUGCUUUUGUACAAGGGUAAACCUGAAUACGUGUAUUCAGCUGAAAGUACUGUACGAAUAAGGAUCGGCUAACUCCGUGCCAGCAGCCGCGGUAAUACGGAGGAUCCAAGCGUUAUCCGGAUUUAUUGGGUUUAAAGGGUGCGUAGGCGGAUUGAUAAGUUAGUGGUGAAAUUUCCGAGCUUAACUCGGGAACUGCGUUUAAUACUGGCGAUCUAGAGAGUAGAUGCGGUAGGCGGAAUGUAUGGUGUAGCGGUGAAAUGCUUAGAGAUCAUACAGAACACCGAUUGCGAAGGCAGCUUACCAAUCUAUAUCUGACGUUGAGGCACGAAAGCGUGGGGAGCAAACAGGAUUAGAUACCCGGGUAGUC